UGCAUAAAACAUUUGCCACAUAAAUGUUAAAUGUUUUAAAUGAGUUGUACAAAUUAAAAAAAAAAUCAACUUACUUCCCAUGAACGUGCAAAAUUAUGUAUGUUCCUAAAACGAGUCAACAGUGCAGUUGUACAGCACACAGGUGGAAAUAAGCAACACUUGAUGGUUAAGAACCUGAAAAGUCGUGACUGGCAAAAGAUAGAGAUUACUUGGCCAGGCAGCCAGGGGAUUAAACAAGACGCUCACAAAUGAGGUGAUUAUUGUUAGACCAAAGCAAAAUAAAAAGAAAAAAUAGAUAGACAAGACCACCUUGAGGGACUUUCCAUCGUCAAUUGAUAGUGAAAAUUGUGGGUGAGAAAAUGAGGAAGAUAUUCUUUCAAGUGAGACGAUUAUUAAAAGAAAAAAAAAACACUGUUAUGAAAUUUACCUGUUCCACAUUUUUGACUGCUAUGCUGCAUUAAUUGUCUUGCUCACAGAGCAUUUUCCUCGCUUUGCUGCAAAUGGGUGUGUUUCUUCGCGCAAUUCCUUCGAGGGACUUUCCAUCACUGAUCCCACGUGAGAUUCAAACACUGCACAAAAAUAUCCCUCAGGCAGCCUCUGGACUUGAUUUUCAGCACCUGCAACAAUUGCCAAGAAAUUCCUUCAAAACCAAUUUUCCCGUGGAACCUCCCGUCAAUUCCUCAAUUCUGCAUACGCAAAGUACGUCAAAAUCAAAUGACCUGUGAUAAAUCCAGAACAGUUUUCUGACGUCGCCUCCCAGCGAACACCAAACGAAAGAGAUAAUGACAUUACCUGGUUAGCAUUUUUUGUUCGAGAACUGCUGACCAGUCAGCAUUUUUGGUGAUCGAAACAGCAAAAAUAUCGUCAAACAGUAAAAAUAACAGGCAAGAAAGGACGUCUGUAUUGUAGUUUGCACCGAAUGCAGAUACAAAACAAAUGCAGAUACGACAGAGGUAGACGCAACCGACGAUAUGCUGAAAACGCUGAAUUUUUCAGCUAACUGUGCUGGCUGGGCUGUUAAGAAUCUCAGCUACCAUAAGCUUAUCUAGGUUUAUCACAGGCUAUUUUCUAUUCUAAAUAGUUUGAUUACAGAGCGCCAAGAAAAGAAAAAGAACGUUCGUGGAAAUCGGUUUAUAAGAGAUAGAAUCCGGUCAAGUUCGGUACAGUAAGGGCCUCGUCAGACCUGAGGAUUAGCCAAGAGAUGGCUUAGCGCAAUUAUAUUCGCAAUAAUGGUUAAACUACUUUUCCAUCAUUUUCCACUAAGCCGUCUCUUGGCUUAAGUCGUAAGUGUGUCUAGGGUAUAAGGGUCAGGGUAUAGUGGAGUUCACUGGGAAUAAUCUGGUGGAAUCUGGUGUCCUAUUCGUAAGUUUUGUUUUUAUUCUCUCUCUGCUAUGUUUCUUUUUUUUUGAGUUUUUAUUCCUUCGUGGUUCGUUCUAUUUCGGGGUUAAAAGUUUCUCUCUAUACCUAAUUUAUAUUAUAUCCAUUAAUCUAUUAUUAUCAUUACUAUUAUUUUUCUUUUUUUCCCUCCAUGCCAAACGGCUGCCACAGCCUGGCCUUGUCUCUUGAUUGAGUGGACAUUUCCUGACAUUCUUAUUUAAUGGUUUUAAUGAAUGAUAUGUAAACAAAUAAUGUUACUUUGGCUUAUACAACCCGUGAUAGAGCUUUUCCAUUGUUUUGGCUCUUGAGGUUGGUCACCAACGCUAAGACGGCGAUGGCCGCAGGGGAGGUUGGAAAUGUCACAAUCAAGAUGAAGAAUAAAUACAGAAUACAGAAUAAUGCGACCUAUAAUUGGAAAGGUCCCAAUCUCAGAUGUAAUGUACUAAAGUUUCAUCAAAAUCGGUUAAUAAAUACCGAAAAUAUAUUCCGGUCAAGUCAUUUAACGCUAGAGACUCUUGGUCACAUCAUUGGAAUGGGCAUGAUACGAUUCCAGACUAUGUCAUCUUGGAUAUCAGAUGAGUGGAGCGAGUGGCGGUUGUUUUAAAAGAGGCACGAGUUGUUUUAAAAGAGGCACGAGUCGACUGCUAUCCCGGGCCUGUUUCAUACCCGAGCUGAUUGUACAAAAUCAGGAAGGACAACAGGGGGUCAACAUUCAACAUUGUAGUCCGCCAUGAAGAAG